UGCAAGUUCUGUGCCUUUGUUCAAUGGCCCCUUUAAUUACCCUGGGACCACAGGCAUGUACUGGAUAUCUUGGGCAAAUGAAGAUAUAUUGUCACCCAACCUGUAACUGACACAGGACUAAUAUCCAGAAUAUAUAAAGAACUCUUAGGAAAACAAAAUAUUUUUAUUAGCCCUUAACAGAAGAAAAACCCAAAUGGCAAAUAAAUACAUGAAAAUGAACAUACUGUCCACCAGAUUGGCUAAUUGGAGAAGGUAUGCAUAAAUGAGCUCCCAUAUAUUGCUGGUAAAAACCACUAUGGAAAACUUUGGCAUUAGUUAGUGCAACUGACAAUAUACAUAUUCCUAUAUCCAGCCAUUCUAAAUCUUAAACAUAAAUAGACAAGUUGACAGCAGUAUAUUCAUAAAAAGAAAUACAAGGAGAAAAGAUACCUUUAUAUGGAAAAAACAUUGGUAAAAACAUUAAAGAAUCAGACAAAAGGAUAUGUAACAUACGUUUCUGUUUAUAGUUCCCAAACAGGCAAGAUUAUUAUAUUUUGUUUAGGGAUGUAUACAUAACUGUUAAAGUAUAAAGCAAAGCAAAGACAUCAUUGCCCACAAAGUUAAAAUAAUGGUCAGCUUUGGGAAGGGAGGGCGAGGGAUAUCAGUGAUUUGGUAAGCAGGGAACUUACUAAGUUUUACAAAUGUUCUGUUUUUUGAGUUGCAUUAUGAUUACAUGUGUCUGUUGUAAAAUAACUUGUUAUGCUGUACAUUUUAUUUUUGCACUGUGCUUGGACUAUACAGCAGCAAGAAGAAUAGGCAGCUACAUGUCUUCAUUCCCCAUGGAAAGAUUACAAGUAGAGACUGACUAAAGAAAACUUUAUGGGAACUCUGAAAGGCAAAGGUCUACAAGAACCAAGCUAAUGCCCAAUCAAGGAAAAGUCACAUUCAAAAUGGGAAGGCCUAGCACACCCGGCUGGGAGAGUGAACACAGGUGCUCUGAGCAGCCACGGAGACUGGAACCAGCCACUCCACUCCUCAAGGCCGUUUCCUCUGCAGAGAACAAGGAUGGGUGGGCUCAGUAUCCCUAUACAGCAGUCCCCCUUUACCUAUGGAGGAUACAUUUGGAGACCCCCCAGCAGAUGCCCAAAGCCACAGAUAGUACCAAACCUAUAUAUACUAUGUUUCUUCCUAUACAUUACAUACCUACGAUGUCAUUUAAUUUAUAAUUAGGCAUAGUAAGAGAUUAAUA
rnacentral:lncRNA from 10 species